rnacentral:lncRNA from 1 species
UGCCUAGAGAGUUCUCUCAUGCCAUUUUAAUCGCCGUCUACAUUCCUCCAUCCGCUAAUGCUGCAGGCGCAUGCGAUCUCAUAUAUUCAGUCAUGGCCAAACUUCAGACUCGCCACCCCGACGCCUUGUAUCUCAUCUCCGGUGACUUCAAUCAAGCGUCCCUCACGAAAACACUUCCUACCUUCACUCAGUAUGUGGAUUGUUACACCAGAGGUGUCAGGACCCUAGACUUGAUGUAUUCAAAUGUUAAAGGGGCCUACAGCUCUUCAGCCCUCCCUCCACUAGGCAGGUCAGAUCACAACCUGAUCCAUCUCCUUCCAAUAUACAAACCCCUGGUUCAGAGGCAACCUGCUACUGUCAGGAAGGUGAGGAAAUGGUCUGAUGAAGCCAAUGCUGCCCUGCAGGAGUGCUUUGAGUCUACUAACUGGGAGGUGCUCUGUGAGCCACAGAGUAAGAACAUUGACCAACUGACUGACUGCAUCACAGAAUAUAUUAAUUUCUGUGUUGAUAUCUGCAUGCCCCUGAAAACUAUUCAUUGCUUCCCUAACAAUAAACCCUGGGUCACCAAGGACAUUAAAGGUGCUCUCAAUGAUAAAAAAAGGGCUUUUAGGACAGGUGAUAAGGAGGAAGCUAAGAAGGCUCAAAGACUACUGUCUGUCAAGAUAAGGGAGGGAAAGGAAAAGUACAGGAGGAAAUUGGAGAAUAGCCUACAACAAAAUAACUUGAGGGAGGUGUGGAGAGGCAUGAGAUCCAUCACUGGCUACAAGACUGGCAGCCAGCUGUUGGAGGGCAAUAUAGAUCAUGCUAAUGAGCUUAAUCUUUUCUUCAAUCGAUUUGAUGUGGAGUCUCAAAUGAUCCCCUCCUAUAACUUCUCUACACAUUCAUUAGUCCAUCCCCCCCAUGUAGUGACUAUUACGCCAGAUUCCUCUGGAAACAUCACCAUCUCAGAGGAUCAAGUAAGAAGGGAAUUGAGCAGGCUUAGCUCCACAAAGGCUGUGGGCCCUGAUGGAAUCAGUCCUAGAAUACUGAAAGCCUGUGCCCCGCAACUUUGUGGUGUGCUACAAUACAUCUUUAAUUUAAG